AUUGAACGCUGGCGGAAUGCUUUACACAUGCAAGUCGAACGGCAGCACGGGAGCAAUCCUGGUGGCGAGUGGCGAACGGGUGAGUAAUAUAUCGGAACGUGCCCAGUCGUGGGGAUAACGUAGCGAAAGCUACGCUAAUACCGCAUACGAUCUACGGAUGAAAGCGGGGGAUCGCAAGACCUCGCGCGAUUGGAGCGGCCGAUAUCAGAUUAGGUAGUUGGUGAGGUAAAGGCUCACCAAGCCGACGAUCUGUAGCUGGUCUGAGAGGACGACCAGCCACACUGGGACUGAGACACGGCCCAGACUCCUACGGGAGGCAGCAGUGGGGAAUUUUGGACAAUGGCGCAAGCCUGAUCCAGCAAUGCCGCGUGCAGGAUGAAGGCCUCGGUUGUAAG
rnacentral:rRNA from 1 species